AGGAAAGAUGAGAUUAUGUCUGCAGCCUUUUAUAUCUGCCAUCUUGAUUGUUGUGUAAUCUGAUAUCUUUUCUUACAGCAAAAAAAGACCAAACCUGUUUCAAGACCUACACUCACCACCUUACAAUGUCAGCUUCAGCUCCUACAGAGUGAGUGUACCAUUGGGUCGUGUCUAUAAGGCAACGGGUGUCUCUGACAUGCAGGGAAGGGAUUUGUGACAGGCAUCUCCCCAGACGAAGGGCAGGGGGAGUGAGGAUGAACAGGACCGCAGAUGAAAGGGUCGGUGCGGCUCCACCCACAUAUCCAUGUCCUCCCAUCAGUCCCCCCUAUAUUUCAGCUCCUCACAGGCCCUGUGAAUGAAACAUACCACUGUGACACAACGUGUGAGUGUGUUUGUAGGAGUAUGUAUACAACAGCAGUGUAUUUCUAUAAGAAGCAUCUGUAUUAUAUUUACCAUGUGCCUGUACAUGCAUGUGAGCACAUGGGACUACUUUUCGUAGACUCAUGACUAUGUGUAUAUGUCUGUGUGGGUGUAGGUAUGUGUGGCACUUGGAUGGAUUGAUGGGUAAUACAUGGCUAAUGAUACAUGGCUGAACUGUAUUAUCGUUCAAUAGCAUUCAUAUUAUAACUAUCAAGCUUUUUUAUAUGACUUUAUGUCUCAAGACUUCCUGCUUAAAUGAAAAAAAAUCUUAUUAUUGGCUUAUGAGUGAUCUAUAAAGUGUUAUUUGUAAAUGAUAAACUCUGAAUAAAGGAUAUUUUAUAUGGUA